AACUGUGACACGUUCCCGCUCAGAUAAUGUGCCUGCAAUUCUCCUGGGUAGCCUGCCCCCUCUUUCACUAACUAUGCACCUCUCUACAUCCAUAGAGGCCUUCUGCCCCUUUUUCUGAGCACCUUGUUCCAGUGCAUCACCACCUUCAUAGAGAAGAAUUUUGUCCUAAUAUCCAAGAUAAACCUGCCCUCUUUAAGAUUGAAGCCAUCUCCCCUUGUCCUAUUACUAUAUGCCCUUGUAAAAAAAAAAUCCCUUUUUGGCUUUCUUGUAAGUCCCUUCAGGUACUGGCAGGCUGCUGGAGGGUCUCCCAGGUGCCUUUUCUCAAGGCUGAUGAGGCAGCUUAUUAGUUCUCAGGGCUUGAAGACCUCAUUGAGCCUCAGUUGCUCCUCCCAGCCCCACCUAUGUCUUGCUCACAGGUUUAGGAGUCCAAGCUUGCUGUUAGCUGUUCCCCCUGUUGGUGCCUCUGCUGCUCUGAUUUAUUAACUGCAUGGACUCCACACCAACACUUAAGUGAAAAUGGCAAUCAGGUAUUGCUGGACUGCCAAGACAGCCUGAGCAAAUUCUGGAAGAAAUGAACUUGUUUAAUUACAAUCAUCAAGAGCCUUCUUAUUUGCCUUUCAGUUCAGUUUGAGCUCCUGUGAAUUGAGCAGCACCUCCUCUACUGGUGAAAACUCACACAGCUACAAGGACUUCAAGCUAUAUCAAACUCUUCUGUAAAGUUACUGAGUUAAUUUUGUGAAUUCAGCAAAAACUGAGCUUCGCACGUUCUCAGACAGAAUAUUAAUGCUUCAGCUGUCAUGAAUGGUGUUUUUGCUACUUGCAAGAAGCAUCCUGAGUUUUAACACAGUUGCAUUUCUCUGCUUCUUUAUCAUGGAACAAAACCUGCAAUGGUGGAUCAACAACAGCUUCAUGUACUUGGCUUAGGCAAGCAUCCAGUACAGUGAAUGAGCGAAGUCUGAGUUGUAGCACCUGCAGACUGAGAAAUAUUCUUUUUUUGAGAUAAUUAUAAAUUGUGAAAGAUCACAAUGAUGACAUUCAGAUGACACUUCAGCAUCCAGAAAAGGCAGAUGAAAGGAAAUCCAAAAUGAGCACUACUUUUGUUAAGUAAUAAGGAUUCUAAUAAAGAGCAGAGAAUUAAGAAUAUGCUAAAGCAGGACCUUUUUGGAGUUCUCUAGAAUAGAAAAAAAAGGACAAAGUAGGCCUAGCAGCCUCUGUAAACUGUAGUCAUUAAUGUCUUAACAGGUCUCAAAAUCUGUAAGAUUUGUCCUGGCACGAGCAUCUGUGCAAAUGAGAACCCCUGAUUCAAAGACAUCAUCCUUCAGCUUCUCUAGGCUUUCUUAGGAUUUUCUAGUAACUGGCUAGGUUUUGGAUUCUUCAGCUGAAAAGCCCUUGCAAGAAUGAGCCAGUCCUUCUUGCUCAGUCCUGUAUGGUUUAUAUUAGGUUACAUUAAAAACUAAGAGCGUGACCAAGAGGAAAAAACACUGAAACCUGUAAUAAGUUUGUUUUAACUGCUGUUCUUCUGCUGUAUUUAACUUUUAGAAGAUUUACUGAUAUACAGGUAAUCUAGCCAUUGUUGUUUUAGAUAUUCCAAUGCACUUGUCAGUUUAAAGAAUUGGAAUUUUUGAGUAUGACUUUGGCUGUUAUCCGUGUGGGCGAAAAGAAGCCAUGCUUACGCAGAAAUAUUUGUUUGAAGUAACAGACUAAAAAUGCACCUGCAAAUCAAUGCUUCGUUCAGUAUAAACAGAAAAACAUAAAGAUUUAUGUUUGCAAAACUGAAAGCAUUCAGACAGCUCCAGCAACAGAAUUAAGUUGUAGUCUUCCUUCAAAAGCUAGACAUGGUUUCUUGUUUUGGAACUAAAAACAAUAAAAAGUGGGCAAAGCAGCAAAGUCAGUUACUUGUUGAAUAUUUUUCAAGAAGAAAGGGGUGAGCUCAUGUGGCAUUUCCAAUGUCUGUAUUAGUUACUGGAAAUAUGAAAUUGAAAAAUCAGGCAGGGUAAAGCCGUCUUUUCGUCAGGACCAAAAGGGAAAGUACUGAGAGACAGUAAACACUAAUUCUUGGAAGAGACUGUUUCUGGACAAAGAGCCAAACCAUAGGAAUUACUGGAAAGAGGUUGUUCUAGAGAAAGGGUUAUUUUAUUCCAAGACUUUUGUGUAAGAGUCUUUUAAAAUAAUAUGCUAAGGUCACACAUUUUUGUGUAAUGAAACCACCACAAUUUCUAUCAGAUAUAAACUUAGUAGGAGUAAUUUGGCAAGAAGUAAAUCUUAAUUGCAUUUUC